UUGACUUUUGUACAUGAUUCUGUUUGUGGGCUGAGCACAUCUGUAGCCAGACAGACCUAUAUAACAGACUGAGACAUCUAGAUGUAAUCCUAAAGGGUUUAAACCAUUGGUCAUACACGUGAUUAUUAUCUUUUUUUUCUGGGUUAUUCUGAGCAGCAGCAGAAAUGAUUUUGCUCUGACUUACUCUGUGUCUCUCUCUCCCUGCAGAAUCCAGUUAAAGCUUGAGAACUGUCUGUCCAACAAAUCAUGGCCUACCUAAAACAUCACUAGCGUCUGAUGUGAGAAGACAGGUGUGCAGGGCCCUUUCACUACAGUCCAGCUUAACCUCAUGUCACAGGGUGCAUGUGGACAGGCCUGGACACAAAUUAGAAAUUACCCAGCAUGGACAGACGUUCAGUUUAAUGGACAGAGCUGUGCCAAAUGACAUCAGACAUUCAAUAGAACACAACAAUGGACUGCUCAAUAACACAUGCAUGGAAUCCAGAAUACAAAUUAUCAAAGAGUCCAGUGUCGUCCUGUGUCUCUACACAAAGGCCUUAUAUGGCCAAAUAAGCUGACUCAUAAUGCUGUAUCUAGCGAAAGGAGAGAGAGAGAGAGUCAAUCCUGGCUUGGCUGUUUUGACACCAUAUUGGUUUUCCAC